CAUGCAAGUCGAGCGGGCACCGUAGGGUGCCAGCGGCGAACGGGUGAGUAACACGUAUGUAACCUACCCAUUGGACGAGGAUAACUACUGGAAACGGUAGCUAAUACUGGAUAGGUACUGCAACCGGAGGGGGGCAGUAUGAAAGGCCCAUGAAGGGCCGCCAAUGGAUGGGCUUGCGUCGCAUUAGCUAGUUGGUGAGGUAAGGGCUCACCAAGGCGAUGAUGCGUAGCCGACCUGAGAGGGUGACCGGCCACACUGGGACUGAGAGACGGCCCAGACUCCUACGGGAGGCAGCAGUAGGGAAUCUUCGGCAAUGGACGGAAGUCUGACCGAGCGAUGCCGCGUGAGCGAAGAAGGUCUUCGGAUCGUAAAGCUCUGUUAUGAGGGAAGAAGGACGUAGGCAGGCAAUGGCCUACG
rnacentral:rRNA from 1 species